rnacentral:rRNA from 1 species
UACGGAGGGUGCGAGCGUUGUCCGGAAUCACUGGGCGUAAAGGGCGCGUAGGCGGCCUGAUAAGUAGGGGGUGAAAUCCUGCGGCUUAACCGCAGGGCUGCCUUCUAAACUGUCAGGCUGGAGCACAGUAGAGGCAGGUGGAAUUCCCGGUGUAGCGGUGGAAUGCGUAGAGAUCGGGAAGAACAUCAGUGGCGAAGGCGGCCUGCUGGGCUGUUGCUGACGCUGAGGUGCGACAGCGUGGGGAGCAAACAGG